rfam:Ictidomys tridecemlineatus contig127415, whole genome shotgun sequence.
GGGAUUGUGGCUCAGUGGUAGAAUGCUCGCCUUGCACGUGAGAGACCCUGGGUUCGAUUCUCAGCACCA